rnacentral:rRNA from 1 species
UACGGGGGGUGCAAGCGUUGUUCGGAAUUACUGGGCGUAAAGGGCGCGUAGGCGGGUGGACAAGUCUCUCGUGAAAGCCCACGGCUCAACCGUGGAAUUGCGGGAGAUACUGUCUGUCUUGAGUCCGGGAGAGGAGGGUGGAAGUCCCAGUGUAGGGGUGAAAUGCGUAGAUAUUGGGAGGAACACCGGUGGCGAAGGCGGCUCUCUGGACCGGUACUGACGCUGAGGCGCGAAAGCUAGGGGAGCAAACGGG